GGAGCCUUGAACUCAUGCCUUCUGACUCUGAUCCUGCUCCAAAUCUUGAGGAAAUAUGCAGAUUCCUGACAGCAGCAGAAUCUUUCAGAAAGGAGUCUCAGAAAACUUUAUUAGAACCAACUGGAAAAUUUCAUUAUGCUGGCAACUCCUGCAGUUCCUCUGGGCUGAAGAAGUCCUCCUGGAAGAGCAACCUGUAAUUUUCCUUUCCAGUGUUCGAUUGCAACUUCUAACCACCGUAGCCCCUUCAUGCCAGCUUCAGCCAGUCUGAGGGCACAGGCUGGAAAAGAGAAUCCUUUCCACUCCUUAUUUCUCCAGAAUACGCCUAUGCUGCCUCUGAAACACCUCCGGCCCAUCCCCCCCAUCUCACAGCUACUGCCCUAGGUCAUCUUAUCUCACCUGGAUUCAGUCUCAUAAAUGCCUCUUUCCACCCUGGUCCAUGCUAACCUCUGCUGCUGGAUCAGUUUGAUUCAGGUAUAGCUCCCCUGACUGGGGAACUAAAUCCCUCAGCCUAGUCCCCAUCGUCCUCCAUUACCUCUCCACAUUCAGCUCUCUCAACCUCACCUCCUUUUCUUCAUGUCUCCCUUACUUCAUCCUAAUCAAGCUCAUGUGGUCCACCCCACGAGCCCCUUCUGACCUCCCUGCCGCUGCUCAUUUUAACCUAUUCCCUGGUUGCCCAAAUCUACCUUGUCUGCAGCCCAGGCCCUGAUUUCUCUCAGGCAGGGCUCUCACGCCCCGCCGUCAUCAAGCUUUUCCAUCCAUCAGCUGGGGGAAAAUGGCUUCUGCUGGCAUCCCUUGACCUUAUCAAGACCUCUUUUAAAGUAUUUAU
rnacentral:lncRNA from 10 species